ACAAUGUUCCUCAUAAACGCUACAGUUUUGCCUCCAUUGUCUUUCUCCUUUCCUCCUUGGUUCCUGUAAAAGGGAAAACCGAAAACCCCUUUUGUAUCACGACCCUCUCCGCCUCUGGCGUUACCCACUUUAUGCUUCUUCUUCAACAUUGGAUUUCAAUGUUGGACUUGUGAAGAAUAAGAAAGGGUUUCUGACUUCUUGUCCAAUAAGUUUCGAUUUUAUUUCUGUUCAAAAUAAAGUUGCAACUUCGCAUCCAAUUAUAUUGAAAUUGUUUCUUACCCAUUCACUUUGUUACCUAACAAUUGUGUAUUUUCAAUACAAUUCAAUCAAGAAUUCAGGUCUCAAUAAUUUAAUCCUAUGAAGAAGGGCAAAGAAUAUAAGAGAAGAUUGGAAAGUUUGAUUGAGUUGGAUAAAAUUAGCGAGACUAGGGUUCAAGAUGUAGCUUGGCUCUGUUCACUUUCACAAUCUGAGAUUGAUAUGCUGAUUAGCUUGAAAUUGUUGAUAAGUAAGCGAGCAACAAAGAUAGGAUGUAAGAAAUUGGCCGAUCAAUUUGACCUUAAGAUGCUUCGAGGCAUUGGUUGUCUCUGGUGUAUGUUGGACUGUGUAAUGCCCCGAUUGAGUCACUAUUGCAUAGAUAAAAUGAAUUGCUGGAGAAUGAAUGUCGUAAUCUCUAUAGCACCGACACUUCUGAUUGAAUGCAUGUCCUGCAUUUGUUUUGAUGGAAAAUCUCAAAGCAGAGAUAAAAGACUCAUCUCUUAUACCAGAUAUGGUGAAAUCUUCUGAUUUUUUAGAUGCGUGCAACCUACUGAACUGUAAUAACGAGGUUUCUUCAACUGUUGAAGAGCUAAGUACAAGUGUUGGUGCCGAUAUACAACCAAUUCUUCAAGGACAUGUAAAUUCACCUUCUUUUAAACGAAAGAAGCAUAAAGUUGGUCGCACCAAUUUCCAAAUGAAAGAAGCCGAAAGUUGGUCGCAGUGAGUAAAAGAUUUUGCUCUUCAAGGAUGACUUGAAGGAUUUAGCUUAUGAACUUUGCUGGGGAAACACUGAUUUUGAUUUUUGAGUGACCUUAUUGGCUAAUAUACACAUGAGUGUUUUAAUUUUCGAUAAUCUUUGCUGCUAUUUGCAUGACAGAUAAAUAGUUUGAGCAUAUAAGUUGGAUGAAUUUAGAAAGCUGUUGAAAGAAUGUGAGGCAAGUGCACGAGUCCAUGCAUAAGUGGGUGGGAUUUUAGGAUAGAAUUACUUAUAGGAUAAAUGAAUAUUCUUUCAUAGCGUUUGGUUUUAGGAUAGUUACUUUAGACUACCUGAUGUUGACAUUGAUCGAAUUGUCUUGGCAAGAUCAGAUAUUAUAUUUAUUGAAGGGAGGACAAGCUUUA